UGCUGCCAUAUCACGUUGAAACACCUGUUCCCGUACGAUCACCGAAGUUAAGCCACGUCGAGGCUGGUCACUACUUAGAUGGGUGGUCGCUUGGGAAUACCAGGUGUU